rnacentral:rRNA from 1 species
CGGAACGGGUGAGUAACGCGUGAGGAACCUGCCACAAAGAGGGGGACAACAGUUGGAAACGACUGCUAAUACCGCAUAAGCCCACGGCUCGGCAUCGAGCAGAGGGAAAAGGAGCAAUCCGCUUUGAGAUGGCCUCGCGUCCGAUUAGCUAGUUGGUGAGGUAACGGCCCACCAAGGCGACGAUCGGUAGCCGGACUGAGAGGUUGAACGGCCACAUUGGGACUGAGACACGGCCCAG